rnacentral:tRNA from 1 species
GCCCACGUAGCUCAACCGGUAGAGCAGCUCAUUCGUAAUGAGCAGGUUAUCAGUUCGACUCUGAUCGUGGGCUCCA